rnacentral:rRNA from 1 species
UGCGCAGGCGGUUAUGCAAGACAGAUGUGAAAUCCCCGGGCUCAACCUGGGAACUGCAUUUGUGACUGCAUGGCUAGAGUACGGUAGAGGGGGAUGGAAUUCCGCGUGUAGCAGUGAAAUGCGUAGAUAUGCGGAGGAACACCGAUGGCGAAGGCAAUCCCCUGGACCUGUACUGACGCUCAUGCACGAAAGCGUGGGGAGCAAACAGGAUUAGAUACCCUGGUAGUCCACGCCCUAAACGAUGUCAACUGGUUGUUGGAGGGUUUCUCUCAGUAACGUAGCUAACGCGUGAAGUUGACCGCCUGGGGAGUACGGCCGCAAGGUUGAA